GACAGAGGUGCCGAGCGUUAGGCGGAAUCACUGGGCUUAAAGCGUGUGUAGGCGGGCGGGCAAGUACCUUGUGAAAUCCCACGGCUCAACCGUGGAACGGCUGGGUAUACUGCCUGUCUUGAGCCAACUAGGGGCGAGCGGAACAGACGGUGGAUCGGUGAAAUGCGUAGAUAUCGUCUGGAACGCCAAAGGUGAAAACAGCUCGCUGGGGUUGUGCUGACGCUGGAGACACGAAAGCCAGGGGAGCGAACGGG
rnacentral:rRNA from 1 species